rnacentral:rRNA from 1 species
UACGGAGGGUGCAAACGUUGCUCGGAAUCAUUGGGCGUAAAGCGCACGUAGGCGGCCCGGUAAGUCGGAUGUGAAAUCCCUCGGCUCAACCGAGGAAGUGCAUUCGAAACUGCCAGGCUUGAAUAUGGAAGAGGGUCGCGGAAUUCCCGGUGUAGAGGUGAAAUUCGUAGAUAUCGGGAGGAACACCAGUGGCGAAGGCGGCGACCUGGGCCAAUAUUGACGCUGAGGUGCGAAAGCGUGGGGAGCAAACAGG